CAGGAAAAUCACUUGAACCCAGGAGGCAGAGGUUGCAGUGAGCUGAGAUACUGCCUUUGCACUCCUGCCCGGUGACAGUGUGAGACGCUAUCUCAAAAUAA